rnacentral:rRNA from 1 species
AGUGAACGCUGGCGGUAGGCCUAACACAUGCAAGUCGAACGGCAGCACAGUAAGAGCUUGCUCUUACGGGUGGCGAGUGGCGGACGGGUGAGGAAUACAUCGGAAUCUACUUUUUCGUGGGGGAUAACGUAGGGAAACUUACGCUAAUACCGCAUACGACCUACGGGUGAAAGCAGGGGAUCUUCGGACCUUGCGCGAUUGAAUGAGCCGAUGUCGGAUUAGCUAGUUGGCGGGGUAAAGGCCCACCAAGGCGACGAUCCGUAGCUGGUCUGAGAGGAUGAUCAGCCACACUGGAACUGAGACACGGUCCAGACUCCUACGGGAGGCAGCAGUGGGGAAUAUUGGACCAUGGGCGCAAGCCUGAUCCAGCCAUACCGCGUGGGUGAAGAAGGUCUUCGGGUUGUAAAGCCCUUUUGUUGGGAAAGAAAAGCAGCAGGUUAAUACCCCGCUGUUCUGACGGUACCCAAAGAAUAAGCACCGGCUAACUUCGUG